AGUCGAACGGCAGCAUGGGAGCAAUCCUGGUGGCGAGUGGCGAACGGGUGAGUAAUAUAUCGGAACGUGCCCAGUCGUGGGGGAUAACGCAGCGAAAGCUGUGCUAAUACCGCAUACGAUCUCUGGAUGAAAGCGGGGGACUCGUAAGAGCCUCGCGCGAUUGGAGCGGCCGAUAUCAGAUUAGCUAGUUGGUGGGGUAAAGGCCCACCAAGGCGACGAUCUGUAGCUGGUCUGAGAGGACGACCAGCCACACUGGAACUGAGACACGGUCCAGACUCCUACGGGAGGCAGCAGUGGGGAAUUUUGGACAAUGGGCGCAAGCCUGAUCCAGCAAUGCCGCGUGCAGGAUGAAGGCCUUCGGGUUGUAAACUGCUUUUGUACGGAACGAAAAGGUCUGCCUUAAUACGGUGGGCCCAUGACGGUACCGUAAGAAUAAGCACCGGCUAACUACGUGCCAGCAGCCGCGGUAAUACGUAGGGUGCGAGCGUUAAUCGGAAUUACUGGGCGUAAAGCGUGCGCAGGCGGUUAUAUAAGACAGAUGUGAAAUCCCCGGGCUCA
rnacentral:rRNA from 1 species